UACGGAGGGGGCAAGCGUUGUUCGGAAUCAUUGGGCGUAAAGAGUAUGUAGGCGGCUAUUUAAGUCAGACGUGUAAGCCCACGGCUCAACCGUGGAAUUGCGUUUGAAACUAUUUAGCUUGAGUGCAGGAGAGGAAGGCGGAAUUCCCAGUGUAGCGGUGAAAUGCAUUGAUAUUGGGAAGAACACCGGUGGCGAAGGCGGCCUUCUGGUCUGACACUGACGCUGAGAUACGAAAGCCAGGGGAGCGAAC
rnacentral:rRNA from 1 species